UAAGCGACUAAGCGUACACGGUGGAUGCCCUGGCAGUCAGAGGCGAUGAAGGACGUGCUAAUCUGCGAUAAGCGUCGGUAAGGUGAUAUGAACCGUUAUAACCGGCGAUUUCCGAAUGGGGAAACCCAGUGUGAUUCGUCACACUAUCAUUAACUGAAUCCAUAGGUUAAUGAGGCGAACCGGGGGAACUGAAACAUCUAAGUACCCCGAGGAAAAGAAAUCAACCGAGAUUCCCCCAGUAGCGGCGAGCGAACGGGGAGCAGCCCAGAGCCUGAAUCAGUGUGUGUGUUAGUGGAAGCGUCUGGAAAGGCGCGCGAUACAGGGUGACAGCCCCGUACACAAAAAUGCACAUACUGUGAGCUCGAUGAGUAGGGCGGGACACGUGGUAUCCUGUCUGAAUAUGGGGGGACCAUCCUCCAAGGCUAAAUACUCCUGACUGACCGAUAGUGAACCAGUACCGUGAGGGAAAGGCGAAAAGAACCCCGGCGAGGGGAGUGAAAAAGAACCUGAAACCGUGUACGUACAAGCAGUGGGAGCACGCUUAGGCGUGUGACUGCGUACCUUUUGUAUAAUGGGUCAGCGACUUAUAUUCUGUAGCAAGGUUAACCGAAUAGGGGAGCCGAAGGGAAACCGAGUCUUAACUGGGCGUUAAGUUGCAGGGUAUAGACCCGAAACCCGGUGAUCUAGCCAUGGGCAGGUUGAAGGUUGGGUAACACUAACUGGAGGACCGAACCGACUAAUGUUGAAAAAUUAGCGGAUGACUUGUGGCUGGGGGUGAAAGGCCAAUCAAACCGGGAGAUAGCUGGUUCUCCCCGAAAGCUAUUUAGGUAGCGCCUCGUGAAUUCAUCUCCGGGGGUAGAGCACUGUUUCGGCAAGGGGGUCAUCCCGACUUACCAACCCGAUGCAAACUGCGAAUACCGGAGAAUGUUAUCACGGGAGACACACGGCGGGUGCUAACGUCCGUCGUGAAGAGGGAAACAACCCAGACCGCCAGCUAAGGUCCCAAAGUCAUGGUUAAGUGGGAAACGAUGUGGGAAGGCCCAGACAGCCAGGAUGUUGGCUUAGAAGCAGCCAUCAUUUAAAGAAAGCGUAAUAGCUCACUGGUCGAGUCGGCCUGCGCGGAAGAUGUAACGGGGCUAAACCAUGCACCGAAGCUGCGGCAGCGACACUGUGUGUUGUUGGGUAGGGGAGCGUUCUGUAAGCCUGCGAAGGUGUGCUGUGAGGCAUGCUGGAGGUAUCAGAAGUGCGAAUGCUGACAUAAGUAACGAUAAAGCGGGUGAAAAGCCCGCUCGCCGGAAGACCAAGGGUUCCUGUCCAACGUUAAUCGGGGCAGGGUGAGUCGACCCCUAAGGCGAGGCCGAAAGGCGUAGUCGAUGGGAAACAGGUUAAUAUUCCUGUACUUGGUGUUACUGCGAAGGGGGGACGGAGAAGGCUAUGUUGGCCGGGCGACGGUUGUCCCGGUUUAAGCGUGUAGGCUGGUUUUCCAGGCAAAUCCGGAAAAUCAAGGCUGAGGCGUGAUGACGAGGCACUACGGUGCUGAAGCAACAAAUGCCCUGCUUCCAGGAAAAGCCUCUAAGCAUCAGGUAACAUCAAAUCGUACCCCAAACCGACACAGGUGGUCAGGUAGAGAAUACCAAGGCGCUUGAGAGAACUCGGGUGAAGGAACUAGGCAAAAUGGUGCCGUAACUUCGGGAGAAGGCACGCUGAUAUGUAGGUGAAGUCCCUCGCGGAUGGAGCUGAAAUCAGUCGAAGAUACCAGCUGGCUGCAACUGUUUAUUAAAAACACAGCACUGUGCAAACACGAAAGUGGACGUAUACGGUGUGACGCCUGCCCGGUGCCGGAAGGUUAAUUGAUGGGGUCAGCGCAAGCGAAGCUCUUGAUCGAAGCCCCGGUAAACGGCGGCCGUAACUAUAACGGUCCUAAGGUAGCGAAAUUCCUUGUCGGGUAAGUUCCGACCUGCACGAAUGGCGUAAUGAUGGCCAGGCUGUCUCCACCCGAGACUCAGUGAAAUUGAACUCGCUGUGAAGAUGCAGUGUACCCGCGGCAAGACGGAAAGACCCCGUGAACCUUUACUAUAGCUUGACACUGAACAUUGAGCCUUGAUGUGUAGGAUAGGUGGGAGGCUUUGAAGUGUGGACGCCAGUCUGCAUGGAGCCGACCUUGAAAUACCACCCUUUAAUGUUUGAUGUUCUAACGUGGACCCGUAAUCCGGGUUGCGGACAGUGUCUGGUGGGUAGUUUGACUGGGGCGGUCUCCUCCUAAAGAGUAACGGAGGAGCACGAAGGUUGGCUAAUCCUGGUCGGACAUCAGGAGGUUAGUGCAAUGGCAUAAGCCAGCUUGACUGCGAGCGUGACGGCGCGAGCAGGUGCGAAAGCAGGUCAUAGUGAUCCGGUGGUUCUGAAUGGAAGGGCCAUCGCUCAACGGAUAAAAGGUACUCCGGGGAUAACAGGCUGAUACCGCCCAAGAGUUCAUAUCGACGGCGGUGUUUGGCACCUCGAUGUCGGCUCAUCACAUCCUGGGGCUGAAGUAGGUCCCAAGGGUAUGGCUGUUCGCCAUUUAAAGUGGUACGCGAGCUGGGUUUAGAACGUCGUGAGACAGUUCGGUCCCUAUCUGCCGUGGGCGCUGGAGAACUGAGGGGGGCUGCUCCUAGUACGAGAGGACCGGAGUGGACGCAUCACUGGUGUUCGGGUUGUCAUGCCAAUGGCACUGCCCGGUAGCUAAAUGCGGAAGAGAUAAGUGCUGAAAGCAUCUAAGCACGAAACUUGCCCCGAGAUGAGUUCUCCCUGACUCCUUGAG
rnacentral:rRNA from 1 species